rnacentral:rRNA from 1 species
UACGAACUGUGCGAACGUUAUUCGGAAUCACUGGGCUUACAGGGUGCGUAGGCGGCUUGUUAAGUAGGGUGUGAAAGCCCCCGGCUCAACCGGGGAAUUGCGCCCUAAACUGGCGAGCUGGAGUGAGAUAGGGGUGUGUGGAACUUCCGGUGGAGCGGUGAAAUGCGUUGAUAUUGGAAGGAACGCCGGAGGCGAAAGCGGCGCACUGGAUCUCUACUGACGCUGAGGCGCGAAAGCCAGGGGAGCAAACGGG